AGGAUGCAGAGGUGGAGCAGGCACAGGGGAGCUGGAAGAGAUCCUGGACUGCUGUCCUACUUUGGUGCUUUUUUCCUGGUCUUGAUGAGUUUUCUCACAUGCAAGCCUGAUGGUGACAGCACAAGAAAUAUAGCUGAUAAUGCAGAACAACAGCUCUGCUUCAGCACAGCAGAGGACAAUGGGCCAUAGGAAAUGGGACACAUUAAGAGUUAAGUAUGUCUUCCUAAAUGCUGAGUGAGCACAAUCCCAUGUAUUCCAUGCUGUGUACGCCUAUGUCUGCCUUUCAAAAGCCAUAAUAACCAACUGAUAAUCACCCUGAUUAAUUUCACAUAUUAAG
rnacentral:lncRNA from 1 species